GCCUUAUAAACGAUAGACAUUUAUUUCUCACAGUUCUGGAGGCUGCAAGUCCAAGAUCAAAGUGCAGAUUCAGUGUCUGGCAAGGGCCGGUUUCCUGGUUCAUAGACAGCAUCUUCUCGCUGUGUCCCCACAUGGUGGAAGGGGCGAGGGAGCUCACUGGAGCCUCUUAUAGAAGGACACUCAUCCCAGCUGUGAGGACUCCACCUUCAUGACCAAAUCACCUCCCAAAGGCCCCCACCUCCUAAUACUAUGGCAUUGGAGAUUGGGAUUGCAACAUGCAAAUUUGGGGAGAACAUAAACAUUCAAUCCAUAGCAGUGUUGGAGAAGAGAGGUGGCCCAGCGUGGAGAGUCAGAGUCCUGGUGGGUAAGACAGACGGGCAGCAGAAGGCCUGGUGCAGAUGACAGAACCCAAGCAUGAGAAGGGCAUCCAGGCAUGGGUGAUAUGGGUUGGCUGUGUCCCCAACCAAAUCUCAUCUUGAAUUCCCACGUGUUGUGGGAGGGACCUGGUGGGAGGUAACUGAAUCAUGAGGGCAGGUCUUUCCCGUGCUGUUCUCAUGAUAGUGAAUAAGUCUCAUAAGAUCUGGUUUAUAAAGGGGAGUUUCGCUGCACAAGCUCUCUUCUCUUGUCUGCCACCAUGUGAGACAUGCCUUUCACCUUCCACCAUGAUUGUGAGGCCUCCCCAGCCACAUGGAACUGUAAGUCCAUUAAACCUCUUUCUUUUGUAAAUUGCCCAGUCUCAGGUAUGUAUUUUUAUUUAUUUAUUUAUUUGGAGACGAAGUCUCACUCUUGUCCCCAAGACUAGAGUGCAAUGGCGCAAUCUAGGCUCACUGCAACCUCCGCCACCCAGUUUCAAGCAAU
rnacentral:lncRNA from 10 species